CCAUGCAUGUCUAAGUAUAAACGAUUUAAUCGUGAAACCGCGAAUGGCUCAUUAUAACAGCUAUAAUUUACUUGAUCUUGACACAAUCCUACUUGGAUAACUGUGGUAAUUCUAGAGCUAAUACAUGCAUUAAAGCUCUGACCUCACGGGAAGAGUGCAUUUAUUAGAACAAAACCAAGCGGCUUCGGCUGUUUCUGGUUGACUCAUAGUAACUGAGCUGAUCGCAUGGUCUUGCACCGGCGACGUGUCUUUCAAGUAUCUGCCGUAUCAACUUUCGAUGGUAGUGUAUCUGACUACCAUGGUGAUCACGCGUAACGGAGAAUAAGGGUUCGGCUCCGGAGAGUUCGCCUGAGAAAUCGCGAACACAUCUAAGGAAGGCAGCAGGCGCGAAAAUUACCCACUCUCAGCACGAGGAGGUAGUGACGAAAAAUAACGAGACCGUUCUCUUAUGAGGCCGGUCAUCGGAAUGGGUACAAUUUAAACCCUUAACGAGU
rnacentral:rRNA from 1 species